AGCAACACUACGCGCUGGGAUCCAGCCUCGGUGAAAGGCUACCGUUACCUGCUGGUUUCACCGGUACGUCCCAGGGCUGGCCAAACACACGCGAAGGCAGAAGAAACUCCUUCUGCGUGGGUACGUCUCUAGAAAGAGCAGGCACUACUCAGUACCGUACACUUAUAAUUAUUAGACUAACACAAGCUACCAACUUCCGGAAUCCUUGAGACUUUUUUUCCCCUCCGGGCGGAAGUGAAAGGGGCUGUGUGGAUGAAUCCCGGAUUUGAGCGUAGCAGAGGCAGCACCGGCGCGCCUGCUGGUCUCCGCAGGCAAGAAAAACCAGCAGCAAAGGCUACAAUCCAAUACCCACUUAUCCGGGAGUAAGUCCCACUGAACCCAAUGGAGCUGACUUGUGAGUAGACAUUACUGGAUUGCAGCCACAGACGUUUGCUCUACCUAAAGUAGGACUUCGCGUGAAAAAAGAAGUGAUGGAACGUUAAACGCAUCUCUCACUUCCGCCCGAGGGGAGAGAGGGAAAGGAACCAAGAAGCUCCAUGUCCUUACAACAGGCUUUGAUACCACCAUAUUUUCCUAUCUCUGUGCUCAGGCCGGCACAACAAAAGCCCACAGUGUGAGCGAGCGGAAUGGCUAUGGCUAGUAAUAAUUAUUCCCUAAAGAGACGGUGAUGCAGCUGCUGUGGAGAGCCGGUGGAAGGCUGUUACUAAGCGGAGGAGGCAGGAUAACUGACCACAUGGACUGAUGGGUCUUUGAUCACUGUAGAAACAAUAUACCCCCCCGAAAACCCCAAAGACACUGAAACUCCCAAAGAAGAGGCAGUCACUUACAUAACUUCAUACAAAAACUUCAAGAAUUAUGAAACAUACUACAAAACAAAAUGUAUUACAUCAUUACAGUAUUACAUUAUCCAUAAUGAAAACAUCUUGUGAACAACUCUUUUAUUAGACUUAUUCGUAAAAGAAAUAAAACUCCAACAGUCAGCUGAAAAAGUGCCUUUGUAUUUCUUUCUUUAAGCUAUUCUUAAUUUUUUGCAUAAACUUUUCAGUUAAGGCUAGUUGCCACACUUUAUCAUAUCAGUGAGAGAUUGGCUUCCUUUAAGUUUUUCCAAAAUUUUGUAAUAAUCACUCUGACUGCCACCAAAAGAUAUCCUAUUAGUGGCCUGUUUUUUCAGUCUAUAUGAUCCUUCAAGAAUAGAUUUAACAGUGCCUGUUUCAUGGUUUUUGUGAUUGGUGGGGUAGUAGUUUUUGCUUUUUGCUCUUUCCUCAAACUGCAGGAUGUUGAUACUUUUGUGCAUGUCUAUCCUAUAUGCUGUAAGGAGACUGUCAGUGCAGCCCUUCCAGGACAUUGCUGAAGCCAGUUUUUAAAAACAAGAUGAGGGACAUUAAAUACAAUUCUUGUAAGUUUUAGCAACAGUUCUUUGAUAUUGGCUGAGAUUUGUAUGGGAACUUGUCCCACAUCGUUGCCCAUUGUUCAUCAAUUUCUAUUCCCCAACCCAUUUAUCCAAACUUGCUGUAAACCAUCUACAGAGCCUGUAUGAAAUUGAAUGAUAAAAUCUAGAUACUAGGUCCUUGUCCCUCAUAGUAAAGCCUCAAACUAUGUGUGAUCUCAGGUUGCUUGCUUUACGAUGGAAUGCUGCCUUAUCAAAUUACCAAUCUGAUACCAUAAUGGCCACAUGAUAUUACUAUUUUUAACUGAUUUCACCACGUCUCUCUAGGAACAGAUUGAGUUCCUUUGUAAACGUCUCUAAGCCUUAUAUAUGAACUAUCUUAGACACCUCACUGUUGAAUUGCUUGAGGGGUAUUUUUUCUUCUUAAACAGAUAACUGCACCCCCUGUGUUGCAAAGAACCACCAUGCCAAGAAAGUUACAUAGAAUAAUGACAAUUAUCUGAAUCCACUUCACUCUGGGUUCAGGCCUGAUUUUGGGACUGAAUCAGCCUUGGUGGCCCUGAUGGAUGACCUUUAUUGGGGGAGGGGAGUGCAGCCCUCUUACUUGAUAUCUCAACAGCUUUUGAUACCAUCAGCCAUGGUAUCCUCCUGGACUGAAUGUGUGGGACAGGUAUCAAAGGCACUGUAUUACAAAUGUUCCAUUCCUACCUGCAUGGUCAAGUCAGCAACUAGCAAUG